CUUAUCAGAUUGUAUUGUAAUU
rnacentral:miRNA from 5 species